AAAAAAAAGUAAAAAAC
rnacentral:sRNA from 1 species